GGAAAAGGCUCGAGGGAAAGGAGCAUCAGAACUGCAGGGGCUGAAAUUCUACAAAGACUGAGAAAUCAUGGUUAUUCCUCUCCGGAGAAUGACACCUGGGUAUAUAAGAUUGCUGCAGACUCAAGCUGCAGCAAAGAUGACUAUCAACCCAUCAGACACAGCGCUGCAGCGGGCGGCUCUGCUCCUGGGAGUGUUCGGGAUCAGCAUUUCCAGCUACAGCACACACCAGCUCACUCAAACAAAACGAUUCCCCUCGACCACUUUAGGCUGUGCUAGGAUGUGACCCAACAGGUCCAGGCUUAUGUCAAUACUGCUGAUGAGAGGCUUGGCUGCCGCUGUUACCCCGUGGAGGUAAUGAGACACUCUGCAGCCGAGAUUUCUACGUGCAAAGUUAAAUAGAUGGAAGGACUGCAGACUUCACCAAGAAAGAAAAUAAUAACUGCUCUCAGAAGGACUGGAUUUCCAAACAAGACAAACUUUCUGUAAAUAUUAUGGAUUUCUCUUGUUAUUCAGUGUAUACGUAGGGAUCUAAAGGGAUAAAAUACAGUUACUCUCAGAGUAGCUGUAAACAGACCAGUGUGGGUGCUGGGCUCUGCGUUGCAGCUUUUGCAAAUUACUGCAAUGUAAAGAAGAAGUUAAUAAUAAGCAAUAAAUUCCUCAUGAUAAGGGUUAGAACAAAAGGAAUUAAUCUCCCAGAGACUUCUUGCACUGUACAUUUGGGUAUUAGAGAAUUUGGGCACUCUAGCUUUUUCUAUUGAAUCUUAAACAUUUCUUGAUGCCUUUUGAGCAGCAAUGUUUGUGUAUUGCAGCACAAGCUGGUAGCCUUCUGUCACAGCAGAGAUGGCCACAGGCUACAUCAGCCAUGUGGUGUAGCUGGGAAGGCCCCAUGGCUCCAGACCAGGUAACUUCAUAUCUGUGCAGAAAUUCUCUGUUCUAGAAAGUACCAGUAAAAGUAUUGGGUUGGGUUCCAUUGCAGAGUUCAAUAUUUGGCUGUAUUCUUCUGCAAAGUCAACUCAUCUCAUAAUAUGCAUUCUGAUUAAAAUAGAAAUAGAGUUUGACCUUUUUACCCUACUUCUCCCUUGUUUUCUUCUCACUUGGUACAAUAGCUUAUUCAGGAAAGUUCUCUUACUAUUGGCUUGCUCUUUUCCAACUGUUUCUUAUGUUUUAUGUAAACAUGGCUUUGUAGGCUCUUCUGUGCAUAUGUUAGCAUUUAAAAUCCUUUGUUCUGGGUUACUAAAUACAAAUAUUAUUUUGGGGUCGUUU